UCUUAAAAUGGACAAUCAGCCUCAUGCAAAAUUGGUGUAAAUCAAGAGUACCCUAGAAUUUGAGGCAUUGUGUUGUAAGGCUUCAAAAUUUUCAGAUCAGUUUCCUGGCUUCUUGGAAACUAAGGCAGAAAGUUGUUACUUUUUUUAAUGAAAGGCUUUUAGUAGAGUUUUUUAGAGUUUUAUUUUAGUAGUUUUGUUUCUAUGCAAUGCAGAAUUGACAGACCUCUGUAUUCUCUCUCCUUGGCACAGUGUUACCUACAGUUUUGAAGUAAUGAUGAUGCUUACAACAGCUUUUUGGGGGAAUGUUACAUUGAUCUCUUAAAUUAUAAACACUACAAAAUGUCAAAAUUGUGAGAACUGACACAACUUUGCCUUAAAGAGUACUAGACUGGAACUUGUCAUAUUAUGUUUAAGGAAGACUUGGAGUGUUCAUUGAUGUUUACGAUUUUAAUAUUUCUGAAGGCCGUUACAGUGGCCUGGAUAUGUGCUGAAAGCCAAACUUUUAAAAUUUUUUGGUUUUUUUUUAAACAAAGAACUAUUUUAAAUAAAUCCUAUUUCAACACAGUGAAAUUGUUGAAAACUGUCUCAUAACAAAAGAGAAAAAUCAUAUUUAGGGUUUUUUUUUUUGUUUUAGUCGUCAGUAUCGGGGAAUGAAAGUGUCUGUUGUUACCCUUAUAACUGUUUUGAUAAAUAUUAGAGGUUAGCGUCAAAUAC
rnacentral:lncRNA from 1 species